GAUGAACGCUGGCGGCGUGCCUAGUACAUGCAAGUCGAGCGAACAGACAAGGAGCUUGCUCCUCUGACGUUAGCGGCGGACGGGUGAGUAACACGUGGAUAACCUACCUAUAAGACUGGGAUAACUUCGGGAAACCGGAGCUAAUACCGGAUAAUAUAUUGAACCGCAUGGUUCAAUAGUGAAAGACGGUUUUGCUGUCACUUAUAGAUGGAUCCGCGCCGCAUUAGCUAGUUGGUAAGGUAACGGCUUACCAAGGCAACGAUGCGUAGCCGACCUGAGAGGGUGAUCGGCCACACUGGAACUGAGACACGGUCCAGACUCCUACGGGAGGCAGCAGUAGGGAAUCUUCCGCAAUGGGCGAAAGCCUGACGGAGCAACGCCGCGUGAGUGAUGAAGGUCUUCGGAUCGUAAAACUCUGUUAUUAGGGAAGAACAAAUGUGUAAGUAACUAUGCACGUCUUGACGGUACCUAAUCAGAAAGCCACGGCUAACUACGUG
rnacentral:rRNA from 1 species